rnacentral:rRNA from 1 species
AUGAACUCUGUGUUCUCCGGACCAAAUCGUAAGUUCGUCAUUACUUUCCUUGAUGAUAUCUUGGUUUUCAUCCGUUCUCUACAGGAGCAUGCUGAUCAUCUACGCACUAUCUUCUCCAUUCUGCGACAACAUCAACUGUAUGCCAAACAAUCCAAGUGCUCCUUCGCACAACCCAACAUUGAGUACCUCGGGCAUGUUAUUUCCAGGGAGGGCGUGGCAACUGAUAAUAGCAAGACCAGUGCCAUGUCUGCGUGGCCGACACCGACAAAUGCCACUAAACUCCGGGGUUUUUUGGGCCUGACAGGCUAUUACCGCAAGAUUGUGAAGAACUAUGGGAUUCUCGCCCAUUGA